UACGUAGGGUGCAAGCGUUGUCCGGAAUUAUUGGGCGUAAAGAGCUUGUAGGCGGUUUGUCGCGUCUGCUGUGAAAUUUCGGGGCUCAACCCCGAACUUGCAGUGGGUACGGGCAGACUAGAGUGUGGUAGGGGAGACUGGAAUUCCUGGUGUAGCGGUGAAAUGCGCAGAUAUCAGGAGGAACACCGAUGGCGAAGGCAGGUCUCUGGGCCACUACUGACGCUGAGAAGCGAAAGCAUGGGGAGCGAACAGGA
rnacentral:rRNA from 1 species